GGAGAGGUGGCAGAGUGGUAAUGCAGCAGAUUGCUAAUCUGUCAACGGGAAACCGUUGCCGGGGUUCGAGUCCCCGUCUCUCCGCAA
rnacentral:tRNA from 1 species